rnacentral:rRNA from 1 species
GGUUCCGUGGACGUAGUCGUACGAGUAGUAGUUCGACUCGCGCGUACGAGACGACGCUGGCGGCGUGCCUAAUACAUGCAAGUCGGGCGGAGCCCGAGGGGAGCUUGCUCCUUAUCGGGCUCAGCGGCGGACGGGUGAGUAACACGUGGGUAACCUGCCCGUAAGACCGGGAUAACUCCGGGAAACCGGGGCUAAGUACCGGAUAACACCGGGGGCCGCAUGGCUUCCGGUUGAAAGGCGGCCUUUGGCUGCCACUUACGGAUGGGCCCGCGGCGCAUUAGCUAGUUGCGGGGUAACGGCCCACCAAGGCGACGAUGCGUAGCCGGCCUGAGAGGGUGGACGGCCACACUGGGACUGAGACACGGCCCAGACUCCUACGGGAGGCAGCAGUAGGGAAUCUUCCGCAAUGGGCGAAAGCCUGACGGAGCGACGCCGCGUGAGCGAGGAAGGCCUUCGGGUCGUAAAGCUCUGUUGUCAGGGAAGAAGGCGUGCCGUUCGAAUAGGGCGGCGCGGUGACGGUACCUGACGAGGAAGCCCCGGCUAACUACGUG